CAACAAACUUGGAAUUAGAAUUGCAUGGAGGACUUUCUCAGGGUUCAAAUUCGCAGUCCCAUACUUCCCAUGGUUCACAAGAAGAGGACGUGGGGACUACUGAAAGCAAUGAGUUAAUAACACCGAAGAAGACUCGAGGACCCACACGCUGCGCAAAUGUGGUACAACAUGACACCAAAAAGAAUGGCCUGAUACCAUUAAGUGUGAAUGAGCAUGGACAGCCUAAUGGAGCCGAUGAAAAAAAUUUCGCUAAUUAUUUGGGCACAAUUGCCCGUAAUGGUCUUGCAGCUCCCUUGAACUAUAAAAAUUAGAAGAAAGUCCCUGAAAUAGUUAAAGAGGACAUGUGGACGACGGUCCGGGGCAAGUUUGCAGUAGAAGAAAUCUCAAAAGAUUGGACAUUAUCAUCCCUUGGUCAUAAAUGGAGAGAUUGGAAGAGUGAAAUUAAAAAGUAACUAUUAUAAAAUUUGGCGUACAGAUGAACAACGAGAGAUGAAAUUGAACCAUUAAUUCUCAAGGCCCUCGCAUAGUCUCACUCAAAUUCUCAAUGAAAUUUUGAUGUUUUAUUUUGCAUGACUUCCUUUUGAACCUUUUAUUAGCACUUGACAUUUUGAAACAAAACUUAGAUGUUAUGGGAUGUUAUUGAAUUUUAAUGCAACUUUCUUUGUUCUAUGUUAUAUAUCAAAUUUAAGUUGUUGGAUGUGUUGUGAUUGAUAAAUUACAUGUGAUUUCAUGAAACAGGGAACAAAAUAAAAUAUUUGCUAAUAUGUAAAUUAAACCAGGAAAAGAAAAAAAAAUUGUAAAAAAAUUAACACAUUACCGGCGGUUUAAAACGCCCCAAAAGAAAAAAAUAUUACAGUUCACUUACAAUACACCGACAAUUUAACACGCCCCUAAAACUAAAAAAUUAUACAUUACCGGCGCUUUAAAUUGCUGGAGUAUAUCGUUAAAAAGGGCGAUUUAAAACGCCCCUAAAAAAAAAAAAAUUAUACAUUACCGGCGCUUUAAGGUGCCGGAGAUAAAUUCUAACACAGGCAUUUACAAACGCCCCUAAAAAGAACAUACAUUACCGGCGCUUCAAAGUGCCGGAAUAGACAGUUACAAUGACAGUUUACUUAAAAUACACCGGCAGACAAGAACGCCGUUAAUUAAUAUUUCACCGGCGGUUUUAUUGGACCGCCAAUA